GUAGGUGAACCUGCGGAAGGAUCAUUACAGAGUUCAUGCCCUCACGGGUAGAUCUCCCACCCUUGCGUAUCAAAAACUUUGUUGCUUUAGCGGGCGCCAGCCCGCUAGAGAACCCCAAACUCUGAAUGUUUAUGUCGUCUGAGUAUUUUAAAAUAGUUAAAACUUUCAACAACGGAUCUCUUGGUUCUG
rnacentral:misc_RNA from 1 species